GCGCGGGGCUGAGGGCCCCAUUCUGCAGGUGGAAAAGCUGAAGCUCAACAAAGUUGGCUGCUGAGACGUGACAAGGACACGACUCUGAGGCGGAGCCAGGCAGAACUAGAAGCAGUGUACUGGUUAGCUUCUGUGCACCGCGCUUUAAGGCUCAGGACCAUCACAUAGUCGUCUUUCCAAAUGUACAGCUGUCAUGACUGCUCUGACAUAAGGAUAUCAGGACAAGAAUCUUGUAAAAAUAUACAAGCAGGAGAGCCAUCUGUUGUGUUAUAUUGUCCCAUCAUUUCCUCCAAUUAUUAAAACAAGAUUGGGCUGUGGCGCUGCCCCUCCUGGUGAUUGACAGCAUUCCCAGAGAACGUGUGCGCACACAUUCCUGAGCCAGCAGGGUGAGCAGGGAUCUACUGAUGAAAAAAAAAAAACUACAUCUAGCUUGAGCUGUUGGAAAAUAUUAUCUGGCAUCUUCUCGUGAUAGAAUAAUUUUUAAGUUGAAAGGGAGUCAAGUAUCUAAAAACAUUUUUAGCUAGCCAUCCAGCUGGCUUUUCUCCUCCAAUUUUACACUUUAAAAAAUAACUUUAAUGUAACGUUGGCAUGAUUUAUAUUUGCUCAUAAUAAAAACCAACGAAAUCUC